rnacentral:lncRNA from 1 species
UUUAGCAAACAGGAUCUUAUUGAAUGAUUUUAGGGUAUUUUCCAUUGAAAUGUUAUUAUCUCACUAGGAUUGGGUAAAACUUGAUAGGGUAUUGUAAGGUUCUGAAAUAAAAAUACAACCGGUCGUGUUAAUUAGUAAAUAUAUCUAUGUGUAGGGUGUUAAGCUCCAUUAUUUAUGUACUAACAAUUUAUAACUUUUGAAAAAAGUUUGUCU